rnacentral:misc_RNA from 1 species
ACAAAUCUAAAAGAGGGGGGGCGACCUCCUACUUUAACCAAUGUGAAUAGCGCCGUACGCGGCGACGUAAGCACUUUUUAGAGUCGGAUAUAAAAAAGCUAAUUAAA